rnacentral:tRNA from 1 species
GGGGGUGGAGCUCAGUGGUAGAGCGCGUGCUUAGCAGGCACGAGGCCCCGGGUUCAAUCCCCGGCACCUCCA